rnacentral:rRNA from 1 species
UGCAAGUCGAACGGUAAGGCCCUUCGGGGUACACGAGUGGCGAACGGGUGAGUAACACGUGAGUAACCUGCCCUUGACUCUGGGAUAACAGUUGGAAACAGCUGCUAAUACCGGAUAUGAACCCUUGUCGCAUGAUGUGGGUUGGAAAGCUCCGGCGGUCAGGGAUGGACUCGCGGCCUAUCAGCUUGUUGGUGAGGUAGUGGCUCACCAAGGCUUCGACGGGUAGCCGGCCUGAGAGGGCGACCGGCCACAUUGGGACUGAGAUACGGCCCAAACUCCUACGGGAGGCAGCAGUGGGGAAUAUUGCACAAUGGGCGCAAGCCUGAUGCAGCAACGCCGCGUGCGGGAUGACGGCCUUCGGGUUGUAAACCGCUUUCAGCAGGGACGAAGCUAACGUGACGGUACCUGCAGAAGAAGCACCGGCCAACUACGUGCCAGCAGCCGCGGUGAUACGUAGGGUGCGAGCGUUGUCCGGAAUUAUUGGGCGUAAAGAGCUUGUAGGCGGUUUGUUGCGUCAGAAGUGAAAACUCAGGGCUUAACCCUGAGCCUGCUUCUGAUACGGGCAGACUAGAGGAAGUUAGGGGAGAACGGAAUUCCUGGUGGAGCGGUGGAAUGCGCAGAUAUCAGGAGGAACACCGGUGGCGAAGGCGGUUCUCUGGGACUUUCCUGACGCUGAGAAGCGAAAGCGUGGGGAGCAAACAGGCUUAGAUACCCUGGUAGUCCAC